CAAGAUAUAAUUUAAUUAGAAUACUAGCUUUGGGGGUUAGUUGUAGGAGUUUAAUUCUCUUUAUCUUGA
rnacentral:tRNA from 1 species